UUUGGGGAUUGAUUUGAUUGUUAUUGAAUUAGGGUUUGAGUAUUUGGGGUUCUUAGAUCAUUUGUUUUAAUUAAUUGAAAUCCGAAAAUGGGUAUGGAUUUUGAUGAAAACCCCAAAUCUGGUUUGUGUUUGUAAAUGGGAUAGUUAUGUUAGUUUAUGACUAUUUGUUAGGGAUUAAGGUUGUUUAUGUUCUAAGGUUGAUGUUAGCUUAAUUGGAGAUGAACUUUGAGGAUUAUGUAGUUUCAAAUUUGGUAAUAUUUAGUUGGUAAUUUGUUGAGCUUAGCCGUGUGAUGUGUGUGUUGAAAUGGAGUAUGGGAUUGUUAUGGGUGUAUUUUGGUUAAAUCAAAAAUUGGGAGUUGGAUUUAUGGGUAUGCGGUUGGAAGAUAUUAUUGUUGAUAUUGAUGGAUAUGUAGUUCUAGUUGUGAUGAAUUGUUACGGAAUUGUAAGUUAAUGAAUAUGUUAGCCUAUGAUUAAUGCUCUAUGGUAGGUUGUUGGUGCUUGAUUGGAAAGUGAUUUUGAAGGGUAUUUUGAUGGAAAUCCGAAUCUGGACUUGAGAGUUAUAAAUUGAGUAUUAUGCUUAUGGAUAGGAGUUAAGGCUUUGAUGGGUGGAUUUUAAUUACGUUUCCAUAGUGUUGUUUUGAUGGAUAUCCGGAGUUGAUUUUGAGGCUUUUGUUAUGUCUUUAAGUUGAUGUUUGAUUUGUAUGGUUUCUAUGGGUAUUUCCCUAAGCUAGGCUGAAUGGAUGAUAGGGGUUAUAAUUGAGAGUUGAUUUUCAAUGAAUAUUGAUGAAUUGAUGUUAAGCUUUGGUGGAAAGUAUUUCCAAUUAAGAGAAGUUAAUCUUUGUUAUGUAAAGGAUGUGAUUUAAGUUAUAUUGCUAAUUUUUAAGUAAUUGAAUGGAAGUGUUGGGUUCGCAAUAAGUUGUUCUGAUAGCCACAUGAGUAUGGAUUAUUAAUGGUUGUGUCAUCCCCUAAGUGUGUUGUUUAGGAAGAUUAUGUUAAUAGAUUAUUGGUGAUUAUGAUUAUGUGGUGUUGAGUAUUAGUAGAUAUAUUUGGUAAUGUCUAUGAGCUUUGAUUGGUUUGGAUGUUAGAAAAGACAUGAUGAUGAAUUAAUGUGUAAAGGGUAUUAGGACAGUGUGAAAUGCCUAGGUGUAUUGGGGUUGUGUUAAAUUUAGUAAGCCUUAAAUAUACAAUGUUAACUUUGUAAAUAAGCAAUGAGCCAUUUAAGGGUGAAACAAAGAUAAUGAAAUGCAACAACAAUUGAUAAGCUAGUAAAAUAAUAAACACACCAUUGUGUUACUAAACAUGAUAAAUAGGAACCUAAACCUAAAUGAUGACUUAAUAAUAGUUUAAGAUACUUAACUAGAUUUAGACACGGGUAACACAACGUGUGAGCACGCGGGUAGUUAGGAUGUCAUAGAGUAUGAGAUUCAAUAGCAUAGUCUGAUGUUACUAAUGUUUGCAGGAUCGAGUUAUAAUUGGAGACUUCAAUGGGUUCUCCAAUGUAGAGUUCGAGUUGGAGUCCAAUGCAGCCAAGAUGAUGUUUCUUUGGCUGCAGGUACUUCGGUAUAGUCGAUGGGUCGGUAGCAGUGUGCUUGGGAUAUUAUGACUGAAGCUCACCGCGACGGUUGUAACUAUCGGACUACGGGUUGUCCACUAUUUUAUAGGUUUGGUAUGGCUUGUGACGUUUGUGUCACUUAUUCUUUGUUAAGCCAUUAUUGUUAUAGUGUUAAUAAGACUCAAACAGAUAGAUGUUAAAUGGCUCUUUGUUGUAAUUAACUUGUGAUAGAUGUAUAAGUUGUAAUUUCCGCUAUUCAGAUUUAUGUUUUUCGCUGCA